rnacentral:rRNA from 1 species
UGGGGAAUAUUGCACAAUGGGCGCAAGCCUGAUGCAGCCAUGCCGCGUGUAUGAAGAAGGCCUUCGGGUUGUAAAGUACUUUCAGCGGGGAGGAAGGCGAUAAGGUUAAUAACCUUGACGAUUGACGUUACCCGCAGAAGAAGCACCGGCUAACUCCGUGCCAGCAGCCGCGGUAAUACGGAGGGUGCAAGCGUUAAUCGGAAUUACUGGGCGUAAAGCGCACGCAGGCGGUCUGUCAAGUCGGAUGUGAAAUCCCCGGGCUCAACCUGGGAACUGCAUUCGAAACUGGCAGGCUAGAGUCUUGUAGAGGGGGGUAGAAUUCCAGGUGUAGCGGUGAAAUGCGUAGAGAUCUGGAGGAAUACCGGUGGCGAAGGCGGCCCCCUGGACAAAGACUGACGCUCAGGUGCGAAAGCGUGGGGAGCAAACA